rnacentral:rRNA from 1 species
ACGUAGGUCACAAGCGUUGUCCGGAAUUACUGGGUGUAAAGGGAGCGCAGGCGGGAAGGCAAGUUGGAAGUGAAAUCCAUGGGCUCAACCCAUGAACUGCUUUCAAAACUGUUUUUCUUGAGUAGUGCAGAGGUAGGCGGAAUUCCCGGUGUAGCGGUGGAAUGCGUAGAUAUCGGGAGGAACACCAGUGGCGAAGGCGGCCUACUGGGCACCAACUGACGCUGAGGCUCGAAAGUGUGGGUAGCAAACAG